CCCUUAGAUGUCCUGGGCCGCACGCGCGCUACACUGAGUGUCUGAGAUACGAGUCUGCCUGGUCCGGCAAGGUCUAGGUAAUCGCUAAAAGACACAUCAUGCUUGGGAUAGAUUAUUGCAAAUAUUAAUCUUGAACGAGGAAUUCCUAGUAAGCGCAAGUCAACAGCUUGCGUUGAUUACGUCCCUGCCCUUUGUACACACCGCCGGUCGCUACUACUGAUUGGAUGUUUAAGCGAGGUUCUCGAACUGCUAGCGACUUAGCUUCGGUGAGGUCGCAGUGUGGGAAGUGAACCUAGCUUUGGUGUCUAGAGGAAGUAAAAGUCGUAACA
rnacentral:rRNA from 1 species